UUGGUCAGCAAGCGAGAGGCUCCGCCCCCGGCUUCCGACGGGCAACGCUCCUUCGGGCUUUUGGCUCCCACGCCCGCCCACCUGCAAGCCCCGCCCUCACUUCCGAGGCCCGCGCUGCCGCGGUCACACCCCGAGCGGUUGCGCGUUUAUUCGUCUCGCUCCGGCGAGUGAGGGGGGGGCCCUAAAGGGCCGCCUGCUUCCCCAUCCUCCUCCCCAGGCGGAGAGGCUGGCCCUUGGGGAGCCCAAGUGGUUUUCCCAAAGCCGCUGCUCACUUACUAGAUACCGUGCUAGGGACUGUCCUCCCAAUUCCAAUGUCAAUACUAACGACCAAUACCACCCCGCAGCCGCUGGGCACCUGGGGCCGGAUGGCUUACACUGUUGACGGGAUGAGGGGUUUUUAGCCCUGUACUUUAGGUGAAGAAACUAAGGCCAGGGGGGCAAGGAGACUGCCCAAGGCCACACAGCUCCUAAAACUGCGCAGCCGGAACUUUUCUCCCCGACUUUUUAUUAGGAGCGUUUCAGCAGACAAAAACCGGCAAGAACUCUCCAGUGUUCAUCCACCACCGAGGGGUCAACAGGCGUUGCCAUUUUGCCACGUUUGCUUGAUCCGCCUCGAUGGGUGUGUGAGGCUUGUUUUUUCUGGAUCAUUUGAAGGCUGGAAGCAAAACCGAAGAAGGCCUCUCCCGGCCGCCUAGGAGCUGAUAUAAAACUUGACCUAAAGGAGACGCUGGAGAAGGCAGCUCAGGACUGACGUUCGCCUGAGAGCAGUGACACAGUUGUUCAUUGUAUAGAAGACAUUGGGACAUUUUUAUUGCAAAGGAGACAUUUUUAUUCCAUCUCCUACUUACGGAUACGGUCAUGCUGAACAUCAAAAGGAGCACGAUUUUGGGCGUGAGCAGCCGCGUGACCCUGGGCACGUUAUUUACACCCUCUCCAGGCCUCAGCUUGCCCACCCAGGAAGAUGGCAUUUAAGUGUCCUUUGAGCUCUGACAACUGAUAUCUACUCCCCUUGAUGAGUCCAGAGCCAGAAGAUGCAGGAAUUAGGAAUGCCCAUUUGACGGAUGAGGAAACCGAGGCACAGUGAGAUUGAAUAAUCCAUUGGGGGCGCCCGGGUGGCUCAGUCGGUUAAGCGGCCGACUUCGGCUCAGGUCAUGAUCUCCCAGCCCGUGGGUUCGA